UACAGAGGGUGCGAGCGUUAAUCGGAGUUACUGGGCGUAAAGGGCGCGUAGGCGGUUAUAUAAGUGAGAUGUGAAAUCCCUGGGCUUAACCUAGGAACUGCAUCUCAUACUGUAUGACUGGAGUAUUGUAGAGGGUAGUGGAAUUUCCGGUGUAGCGGUGAAAUGCGUAGAGAUCGGAAGGAACACCAGUGGCGAAGGCGGCUACCUGGACAAAUACUGACGCUGAGGCGCGAGAGCGUGGGGAGCAAACGAGGA
rnacentral:rRNA from 1 species